rnacentral:tRNA from 1 species
CUUUGAUUAGUAUAGUUAAGUAUAUUUACCUUCCAAGUAAAAGGCCUAUAUAUUGUAGAUCAAAGA